rnacentral:rRNA from 1 species
UAAGUCAGUAGUGAAAGCGUGCGGCUCAACCGCAUAAACAUUACUGAAACUGCUAAGCUAGAGGAUGAGAGAGGUUAUUGGAAUUCCUAGUGUAGGAGUGAAAUCCGUAGAUAUUAGGAGGAACACCGAUGGCGGUAGGCAGGUGACUGGACCAUAACUGACACUAAGGCACGAAAGCGUGGUAGCAAACGGGAUUAGAUACCCGGUAGUCCACGCCCUAAACGAUGGAUGCUA